UACGGAGGGGGCUGGCGUUGUUCGGAAUUACUGGGCGUAAAGCGCACGUAGGCGGCUUUGUAAGUUAGAGGUGAAAGCCCGGGGCUCAACUCCGGAAUUGCCUUUAAGACUGCAUCGCUAGAAUUGUGGAGAGGUGAGUGGAAUUCCGAGUGUAGAGGUGAAAUUCGUAGAUAUUCGGAAGAACACCAGUGGCGAAGGCGACUCACUGGACACAUAUUGACGCUGAGGUGCGAAAGCGUGGGGAGCAAACAGG
rnacentral:rRNA from 1 species